UACGUAGGGUGCGAGCGUUGUCCGGAAUUAUUGGGCGUAAAGAGCUCGUAGGCGGUCUGUCGCGUCGGCUGUGAAAUCCCGAGGCUCAACCUCGGGUCUGCAGUCGAUACGGGCAAACUAGAGUAUUGCAGGGGAGACUGGAAUUCCCGGUGUAGCGGUGGAAUGCGCAGAUAUCGGGAGGAACACCCGUAGCGAAGGCGGUUCUCUGGGCCAGUACUGACGCUGAGGAGCGAAAGCGUGGGGAGCAAACAGGG
rnacentral:rRNA from 1 species